rnacentral:rRNA from 1 species
GACGAACGCUGGCGGCGUGCUUAAUACAUGCAAGUCGAACGGAAAGGCCCUGAUCUUGCUGGGUGCUCGAGUGGCGAACGGGUGAGUAACACGUGAGUAACAUGCCCCUGACAUUGGGAUAAAUUUUGGGAACUGGGGCUCAUAUCGCGUAGAAGAUCCUGAUCCAUGGUGUGGGUUGGUGAGUUUCGGCGGUUGGGGCUGGUCUCGAUGGUUAUCGGCUUGUUGGGCGGGUAGUGGAUUUCGAAGGUUUUGACGGGUAGCCGGCCUGAGAGGGUGACCGGCCACAUUGGGACUGCGAUACGGCGCAGACUCGUACGGGACGCAGCAGUGGGGAAUAUUACGCAGUGGGCGGGAGCCAGAGGCAGCGACGCCGCGUGCGUGAUGCCGGGUUUCGAGUUGUAAACCACUUUCGCCGGAGACGAGGCGUGAGUGACGGUAAUUGGUAAAGAAGCACCGGCUAACUACGUG